AUGAUGCUCAGACUGUCUGUUCUGCUGACAGUGCUCUGUCUGCCCUGUUUGAAUGCUCAGGCUAUGGAGUCCAUUCCUUCCACUCCAGUGCUGAAAAAGCCUCAGGAAGCUGUCAGUCUUUCCUGUAGAGGAAGUGGUUUCAGUUUUGGCAGCUUUGGAAUGGACUGGAUCAGACAACCUGAUGGAAAAGCAUUAGAAUGGUUAGGAGUCAUUUCGUCUGAUGCAAGUAGAACUGCUUAUGCGAGCAGUGUGGAAGGACGUGUAGAAAUCACCAAAGACAACAGCAACAGCAUGGUGUAUCUGAGACUGUCCAACCUAAAGCCAGAGGACUCUGCUGUGUAUUACUGUGCUAGACACUCCCACAGUGGUGUAAAUACUCAGGGAGGCUUUACAAAAACCUCUUAA